rnacentral:misc_RNA from 1 species
ACUUAUCAGGAUUUUUCCGAUCUAGUCCAAGGGUUUUCGCUUUCAUUUGGAGGCAUUGUGAUCAGAUUUUUCGGCCAAUUGGAUGGCGCCACCUCCAGGUCCUUACUCCGGCACCAGCACUCUCGCUCUGGUGGCUCGGGCGUCGGCAUUUAGUUUUGGUCUUGUUUAUGGUAGUGUGAAGCUGAAGAUUCUCAAGAUGAAGGCAAAGUCGCAUAAGAAGUCUGAAGCUAAGGCACAUCACUGAGGAGCUGAUAUGCAGGUCUUGGGUUGAAAUAAAAAGUCUUGCGUCUUUGGAAUGGUUCCCAUCAUUUUAAGCAUUUAGCAAAGGUGGUGCUUGUUUUAGGUAUAGUGAACAUUCUGAAUUUUCUUUUCAUUUUCAGAAUCACUAAGAAUGGUAGAUUCGAGAAUUUAAUUUGUCGAAGAGCAAUCAUUUUGUGGAUUAUUGGGUACUCAUAUACCAAUAUCAGGCACCACCUUUGCUAAAUGCUU